AUCGUUCAUCUCAUUUAAGGCAGUGGGACGGAAGUAAGUAAAACACUGAAGGAACGCGUG
rnacentral:ncRNA from 10 species